rnacentral:rRNA from 1 species
AUUGAACGCUGGCGGCAGGCUUAACACAUGCAAGUCGAGCGGGGGAAGGUAGCUUGCUACCGGACCUAGCGGCGGACGGGUGAGUAAUGCUUAGGAAUCUGCCUAUUAGUGGGGGACAACAUCUCGAAAGGGAUGCUAAUACCGCAUACGUCCUACGUGAGAAAGCAGGGGAUCUUCGGACCUUGCGCUAAUAGAUGAGCCUAAGUCGGAUUAGCUAGUUGGUGGGGUAAAGGCCUACCAAGGCGACGAUCUGUAGCGGGUCUGAGAGGAUGAACCGCCACACUGGGACUGAGACACGGCCCAGACUCCUACGGGAGGCAGCAGUGGGGAAUAUUGGACAAUGGGGGGAACCCUGAUUCAGCCAUGCCGCGUGUGUGAAGAAGGCCUUAUGGUUGUAAAGCACUUUAAGCGAGGAGGAGGCUACUCUAGUUAAUACCUAGGGAUAGUGGACGUUACUCGCAGAAUAAGCACCGGCUAACUCUGUGCCAGCCGCCGCGGUAA